rnacentral:rRNA from 1 species
UACGGGGGGGGCAAGCGUUGUUCGGAAUUACUGGGCGUAAAGGGCUCGUAGGCGGCCUACUAAGUCAGACGUGAAAUCCCUCGGCUUAACCGGGGAACUGCGUCUGAUACUGGAUGGCUAGAGGUUGGGAGAGGGAUGCGGAAUUCCAGGUGUAGCGGUGAAAUGCGUAGAUAUCUGGAGGAACACCGGUGGCGAAGGCGGCAUCCUGGACCAAUUCUGACGCUGAGGAGCGAAAGCCAGGGGAGCAAACGGG